GGUUGUGGCUCAGUGGUAGAGCAUUUGCCUAGCAUUUGUAAGACACUGGGUUCAAUCCUCAGCACCA
rnacentral:tRNA from 1 species